rnacentral:rRNA from 1 species
GAUGAACGCUGGCGGCGUGCCUAAGACAUGCAAGUCGUACGAGAAAGUUCUCUUCGGAGAACGAGUAGAGUGGCGCACGGGUGAGUAAGACUUAAGUAACGUACCCUUUCGCUGGGGAUAACCAGAGGAAACCCUGGCUAAUACCGAAUGACCCUGACUUUUCUGCGGAUUUGUUAGGGAAAGCCGUAAGGCGCGAAAGGAGCGGCUUGAGCCCCAUUAGCUUGAUGGUAGGGUAACGGCCUACCAUGGCUACGAUGGGUAGCUGGUCUGAGAGGAUGAUCAGCCACACUGGUACUGGAACACGGACCAGACUCCUACGGGAGGCAGCAGUUAGGAAUAUUGCGCAAUGGGGGAAACCCUGACGCAGCAACGCCGCGUGGGUGAGGAAGGCCUUCGGGUUGUAAAGCCCUUUUAGUAGGGAAGAAUUUUGACGGUACCUACAGAAGAAGCACCGGCUAACUCCGUGCCAGCCGCCGCGGUAAAAC